GUGCUUGCUUUGACAGCACAUACACUAAAAAUUGGAAUGAUACAGAGAAGAUUAGCAUGACCCCUACGCAAGGAUGACACACAAAUUCGUGAAGCAUUCAAUAUUUUU
rnacentral:snRNA from 1 species